ensembl:lncRNA
CACAGACAGCUCCUGCAUACAGCGUAAACAGGAACUAUUGCAGUACGACGCAGGAAGAACCCUUAAAACCACUGAGCUAGAGACGCGAGAAUCCAUCUUAUUAAUGCAGUUUACACAUACAAGUCUUCACAGAGACAUUACAUAAACCAGCAGGUGUAAGUAUACUGUAUUAGUUAUAAAAAUUUGACUUUUGCAUUAGUGAAGUUAAACAUGGGAAUUUCAGCUUUCAUUUCCUCAUAUUUACACCUAGACCUGUUAAACAACUUGGAACAUGGCACCUUUUGUUUGAGCCCACCCAUUCUAGCAAAUGAUCCAAAAUAUUGGAACGUGACUGAGAGGUGUUCGCUGGUAAAUCGAUUAUUUAAAGAAUUAAUAGCUCUGAAUGUCUACUCUUGGUUUGAGCUCUAGGUUUCACCUGUGAAGACUGCAUUAUAAGAAUAAUAAGAGUAAAUAAUGCAAACUUAAUGUAGAAAGUUCUACUUGUAUUUUUUUUUUUUUAAUCAUACUCAAAAAUUUAACUUAAAAAUGUAAUCCUAAACGGACCGAGAAGGGGCUUGAGAGCAGGAUGUUGUGUCAAAUUGAAAGUGAUCGAAUGAUUGAAUUUCUGCAGUCACACGAAGAAAGACGCGCCACGUGCAAACUCGUGAGACGUUUGAAUGCUUGAGAUUCUUCUUCCUUCAAGAUGCUUUCAGGAUCAAAUGCGCUGGCGUUCUACGUCAUGGUACUUGGGAAUGUUCUGGGUGCCCAAACCAAGUUCAUUGAGCGACUGCAAAAACGUCUUCAUCUCCGUGAAGUGUAUUCAGUGGAGGAGUGUGACGUUGUCAUUGCUUUUGUCCCUGUCGUGUCUCGGGCUGGAACGGACAUACAAUCUGCUCUUCAAAAGCUUGAGACGAGUCAGCCUGUUGUCCUCGUGGUGUUCCAUCACACGUUUGAUGUAAAUUACGUUGCUCCAGAUAGCAAACUGUCUGUGAAGAAGGAUGGUGUGUUUGCUGUGGACAUCCUCUUUCAUGAAGAUGAUGGACCUUUGAACAGCCUGCACAAUGACAAGAUGCUGAAAUCUACUACUGAUUAUCUGAUCUCUAAGGGCGCUUCACCGGAUAUUCAGACUGAUCCAGCAGAAACAUCCAGACGAGCUCAACUAAGGCUGAUUGUAGUCUCCGUUUUGCUCGGUUGUGUUGUUGCUGGUGUUGUUUCUGCAAUAACUUGGAUAUUCAUUGUUAAUUUUCAUAAACUGUAAAUAUGCAGCAAACUAAUCUGUCUUAAACCACAUAAAAUAACGAACCAACAAAUGUAAUAUCUUUCUCAUAAUCAAGAUCACAUUACGAUAAACAACAACAACAACAACAACAAAAAAAAAGCCCAAAAUAAAAUUUUAAGGAGAGGUUAAAGAUUUCAUUAGCACCUUAGCAUAAUUAUUCUGCUAGUAAGUAAUAGCUAAUAGCUAGCUGUAUGCAGUAGUCAAUGUUAUCUAACGUUGAGCAGCAUCAGAUAAGUUAGAUAAAACAACAUUAAUAUUAGAAAAUUUGACCAGUGCCUUCAGAAGGUCUGAAUAUGUCAAGAAGUGACCUGCCCGUGAUAAAAAGUUAUCUGUAAGUGUAUUUAAUAAACAGCACAGAAAUAUAGAAAAGAUCGAGUUAGGAGGGUAAUGUUGGCUAGUUAGCGUAAAUAUGAAUUGGAUCAGAUAACAAAAUACACCAUAAAAGUACACAUACCCUGAGGGUAAGUUUUGUUCUCAUGCUGUCUUUUAGCUAGCUAGCUAACGUUAAUCGCUUCGCUAUCUAGAAUUAUUAAGUUGACUGUAAACAAUGUAACAUCUGGUAAGGUGCUCGAUUAAUCCACAGUAUUUCUGUCAAACAUGCAGCAUUUUUAAGCAAUGAGUGUGUCUCCAUCACGGCUCCAGAGCACUAGAAGGUCAUCUGUAGUGUCUGAUGGGAAGCCGAGGAGCGAGGAUAGUGCCCUUGGGAUAAAUAUGUGAAUGGGAUCUGUCUCUGAUUAAGGAGCAGAAGUUGUCAACAAGGAGACAGAAGAAGUAAUGUUUUUCCCUUACUGUGUCAUAUUCUUGUUAUUUAUGCUGCGCUUACCAUUUAUGGGGAAAAAAAAAAAGUUCAUAUUCACAGUUGAGUUGGAAUUUUGGGAGCUUUCAUACUGCCUGUAUUUUUCAGAACAUUUUGAGGCAGUUCAGUAUGUACACGUGCUGUGUGUCCAAGAAAAUGGUCUUAAAUACUCGUUUUAGUUUCUAUUUCAUUUCAAAAUGAAUUAGAGCUGAUAAAUUUUCACUGCCAUUAUUAAUAAGAUAUUGUGGUAAUGUUUACCAUGAAUACAGCUAAAUGCUAAUGCUGGAUAAAAAUAUAAAUAAAUACAUUUUAUAUAUAUAUAUAUAUA